AGAGCUAAGCCACUCCAAAUCCGACGACGUUCCAGUGCUCCCAUGCAUACGAUGUUAAUCUGCUCUUCCACUCUGUCGGGAGGAACUGGCCCCAUCGUGGCUGGAAUUCUCGUCGUGCUUGCCAUCGGCGUUACUGGAGCUGUGAUUGCUGUGAUCCUGCUCAGAAGAAGACGGCGAAAACAGACCUCAGAGGCACUCCUCCAUAGAGCGGUAUACGAUGCCUCAAGUGAAAGAGCAGAAUUUUUCGAUUGAAGAAAAUUUACAUCUAUUCACUGGAAGAAAGUGUUUUCCGAUCGUCGUAUUAUACGCUUUGAAAAAAGGACUACUUAUAUUAUCAAGUGCAAAAUAUAUACGCACAAAUAAAAUGUCACUUCUCACAAUG